GCACUGUCUUUUCCUGCUGCCUUGUAAAGAAGGUGUCUGCUUCCUUUUCACCUUCUGCCAUGAUUGUAAGUUUCCUGAGACCUCCCCAGCCAUGCGAAACUGACCCCACUGAAAAUCGGACUGUUCAACUCACCUGGCAGCCACUUCCAGAGCCCCUGGAACUCUGGCCCAAGGCUCUCUGACUGACACCUUCCCAGAUCUUCUAGGCUUAGCAGCUGAAGACUGACACUGCCCGAUUGCCUCGGAAGCCUGCAGGACCAUCACAGAUGCUCUGGGUAACUCUCACAGUGGAGGGACCUGGACUAGAGUGAGACCACGUAGGUGCCUAUGGCACAGAAUAUAAGUGAGAUCCAUGUACACAGAUCCACUUACUCAGAGAUGUGUCCAAGGAACCUUAUUUGCCUCACCCUAAUCCUGACCCUUCUCUGGAAUCUGUUCUCAGCCUGCGAUUUGUUUUAACAAAUAGAAUGUGUUGGAAGUGACGCUGUGCUAGUUCUGGGUCUAAGUCUUAUGAAUGCCUGGAAGCCACUAUUUUGUGCUCUUGGGAAUCUUCAGUCUUCUAAGAAGUCCAGUCAUACUACUGUUGAGAGCACAUGGAGAUACAGAGUGGACACUUCAUGUGGAAUGGGAGAAGCUCUGAGACUACAGGAGCAGAGGAAGAUGCCCAGCCUUACUGGCAUCCCAGCGCCCAGACGACCUGCCAGCUGAAUGCAGUCAUAGGAGUGAUCACUGGCAAGACCAGCUGAGCCCAGCUCACAAACUAGAAUCGUGGGCAAAUUAAAUGGUUGUUGUUUAAAGCCA
rnacentral:lncRNA from 1 species